AGAGUUUGAUCAUGGCUCAGGUUGAACGCUGGCGGCAUGCCUAAUACAUGCAAGUCGAACGGAAUCUUAUAUGUUCCUCGUUUGGAUUAAGUUCCAAGUUGAGGAACGAUAAGAUUUAGUGGCAGACGGGUGAGUAACACGUUGGUACCUACCCUCUAGUGGGGAAUAACUUCGAGAAAUCGAGGCUAAUACCGCAUAAUAUCUACGGAUUAAAGCUUUAUGCGCUAGAGGAGGGGCCUGCGUCUGAUUAGCUUGUUGGUGAGGUAAAAGCUCACCAAGGCGACGAUCAGUAGCUGGAUCGAGAGGUUGACCAGCCACACUGGGACUGAGAUACGGCCCAGACUCCUACGGGAGGCAGCAGUAAGGAAUCUUCCACAAUGGGCGAAAGCCUGAUGGAGCAAUGCCGCGUGCAGGAUGACGGCCUUCGGGUUGUAAACUGCUUUUAUAUGGGAAGAUUAUGACGGUACCAUAUGAAUAAGGACCGGCUAACUACGUG
rnacentral:rRNA from 1 species